rnacentral:rRNA from 1 species
GACGAACGCUGGCGGCGUGCUUAACACAUGCAAGUCGAACGGAGAGGCCCUGCUUUUGUGGGGUGCUCGAGUGGCGAACGGGUGAGUAACACGUGAGUAACCUGCCCUUGACUUUGGGAUAACUUCAGGAAACUGGGGCUAAUACCGGAUAGGAGCUCCUGCUGCAUGGUGGGGGUUGGAAAGUUUCGGCGGUUGGGGAUGGACUCGCGGCUUAUCAGCUUGUUGGUGGGGUAGUGGCUUACCAAGGCUUUGACGGGUCGCCGGCCUGAGAGGGUGACCGGCCACAUUGGGACUGAGAUACGGCCCAGACUCCUACGGGAGGCAGCAGUGGGGAAUAUUGCACAAUGGGCGGAAGCCUGAUGCAGCAACGCCGCGUGCGGGAUGACGGCCUUCGGGUUGUAAACCGCUUUCGCCUGUGACGAAGCGUGAGUGACGGUAAUGGGUAAAGAAGCACCGGCUAACUACGUG